rnacentral:rRNA from 1 species
ACUCCUGCGGGAGGCAGCAGUGGGGAAUAUUGCACAAUGGGCGCAAGCCUGAUGCAGCCAUGCCGCGUGUAUGAAGAAGGCCUUCGGGUUGUAAAGUACUUUCAGCGGGGAGGAAGGCGAUAAGGUUAAUAACCUUGUCGAUUGACGUUACCCGCAGAAGAAGCACCGGCUAACUCCGUGCCAGCAGCCGCGGUAAUACGGAGGGUGCAAGCGUUAAUCGGAAUUACUGGGCGUAAAGCGCACGCAGGCGGUCUGUCAAGUCGGAUGUGAAAUCCCCGGGCUCAACCUGGGAACUGCAUUCGAAACUGGCAGGCUAGAGUCUUGUAGAGGGGGGUAGAAUUCCAGGUGUAGCGGUGAAAUGCGUAGAGAUCUGGAGGAAUACCGGUGGCGAAGGCGGCCCCCUGGACAAAGACUGACGCUCAGGUGCGAAAGCGUGGGGAGCAAACAGGAUUAGAAACCCCGGUAGUCCCAUGA